rnacentral:misc_RNA from 1 species
UCUCCGUUGGUGAACCAGCGGAGGGAUCAUUACAGGACUCGCAAGACUCCUACAACCCUGUGAACUUAACUAUAAGCACGUUGCUUCGGCGGGUGUCUCGGAGAGGGUUCUCCCUCCCCGGGGCGCUAAGCCCGCCGGCAGCCUACUAUACUCUGUCUCUUUGCGUUGGCAUCUCGAGUACAAACAAACAAGUUAAAACUUUCAACAACGGAUCUCUUGGUUCUGACAUCGAUGAAGAACGCAGC